CGCACUACGCCAAGCGGCUCGACCCUCCGGCCCACCCAUGCCCUUCCCCAGCGCCGCCAAGAAGCCCAAGGAAAGCAGGCGCCCCUCCGCCACCGCUUCGACCGCCGAGCUCCGCCAAGGACACCCGGGGCGUCGCCUCCAGCCUCCGUUUCCCCGGCUUGGAGAGCCCCUCCCCCACAGCCCGUUCCGCCCGGUGGGGAGGGGACGGAGAAGCCCCUUUGAGCGGAGGGCACAACUGGCCGCCGCCGUCUCCGCAGCGCGCGGGCAAUCGAGGCCGCCACGAGUGGAUCCCAGCCGGGCAGGGGCGGCGGGAGCCGCGCGGGGCGGGGGGAUCAUGGCACGGCCGCCCGAGGCGCUCCGGUUCCCUGCCUUCCGGGCAGCCUCGGCGGCGCUGCCUCUUCCAGGGCCGGGCGGAAGGUCCUGCCAAGGGCGCCCCCUCCCUUCGUCGCCGCCCGGCUCAAGCGCGGUGGCGCGCAGGGCCCGCGGCCCGCCACGCCUGGGAGCCGCGAGAGCGCCGCGCCACUCGGCCUUCCGGGCGGGCCGCGCUAGGCCGGGUCGGCGGGCAGCGAGCGACGCGGGCGAGACGAUCAGCUGUUCGAGGGGAGGUUCAGCGCGCCGAGCCGGAAGGGAGGCGGGCAGGAAGGGCCGCGGCUCGGAGCCGCAACAGGAAGGAAGAAGGGAAUGAGGCAGGGCUGACGUGAAGGGAUGCAAAACAGCCCCUCCUAACCCGCGCGGAGAGAGAGAAAGAGAAAGGCGCAGAGAGGAGGGAGAGCCGCCGCCGCCCUUUUAUCUCGCUUUUGUUGUCGCACUUCCUCUCGCUCCUGCCGCGCCAAGUUUUCUUUCUCCUGCAGCCCGGCUUCUCUCCCCCCUUCCGCCUCCGCGGAGACCCCGAGACCCCCCUGCUCUCCCCGGGCCAGAUGGAGCUCCGGGGGAGCUGAGCCCGGUCGCUUCCCGGUGAAACAGGACAUAAACAUCUUAGAAGCCAUCAAAAUGCUGACGAAGAACCUUUUGCUGCCCCAUAAAUCACCCUCCUUGCUAAUGGCCUCUUCCUUGAUGGGCAUGUCCUCUUCUGCUGAAUCUACUUCCGAGGGAGGGGGGAGCCAGCAUUUCCUGCUUGCCUCCCUGCCUGGCCUUCAGCACGAUCUGAACUGCUCCAGGACAAGGGCUUGCCAGGAGCUCUAGUCAAAAAGCAAGCUGGGCACCCUGACAGCCUGUGGAGUGGCUGAGGAUGAGUGAUCAGGCAUCUCAGGCAUUUUUUAAAAUGUAUUUGCAUAUAAUUUUUAUUAAGGAUUUUGAUUAGAAUAGUAAAAGUUAAUACAAACUAUAUAAAAUAAAGAAAAAAAUAGAAUAAAAAGUGAAAAAAAAUUAGGAAUAUAGUGAAGAAAGAGGAAAUAAAUAUAUAAAUAACUUCCAACCUUCAUCACACAUAUAGACAAAUUUAGUAACUCCUAAUCCCCUCCAAGAUUACAAAUAGAUUUGUCCAUAUCCCACAUCCCUUCCUUUAACAAUAAGCAAAUCCAUAAAACUUUUCAAUUCUGGUGGCAGCAAAAAAAGUCCAUAAAGGGCUGCCGGAACUUUGGAAAUAAAUGUCUUAUUUUAACCUUGAUCAAAUAAGUCAACUCUAUGCUCUUUUAUUUUAUUUUUAACAGUCACUCUUGAGUUUAUUGAAAUUCUGACAUAACAUUUGAUUUAAUUGUUUAUCCAAUUACUCCAAUAAACAUCCUUUUCCAAAUUACUUAUCCAAUUACUCAGAUUUCAUCAAGGGUUUAACAAGCUCCUUUUGUAGAUUCAAUAAAAAUUUUCCACAUCAUUUUCAGGAGCCGAGGUGGCGCAGUG